GUGCUCAAUUUUUGUAGUCGAUAGAUCAAUGUAGGUAAGGGAAGUCGGCAAAUUAGAUCCGUAACUUCGGGAUAAGGAUUGGCUCUAAAGGCUGGGAUGACUCGGGCUCUGGUGCCUUCGCGGGUGCUUUGCCUCAACGCGUGCGUGCGGUGUGCGCUCGUGGCUCCGGGUGGUUCGCGCCGCCCGGGUCCGGCCGCGCCGUGCCCGCUGCAGUCAUCAAUAAACAGCCAAUUCA